GAUGAACGCUAGCUACAGGCUUAACACAUGCAAGUCGAGGGACCGGCGCACGGGUGAGUAACACGUAUCAAACCUACCCUUUACUCGGGGAUAGCCUUUAGCAAGAAAGAUUAAUACCCGAUAUAAAGAAUGGGGAUGUGUUCAAUUUGGUUGUUGGUGAGGUCACGGCCCACCAAGCCUUCGAUGGAUAGGGGUUCGGAGAGGAAGGUCCCCCACAUUGGAACGGAGGCACGGGCCAAACUCCUACGGGAGGCAGAAGUGAGGAAAAUUUGGCAAUGGGCGUUAGCCGGAACCAGCCAAGUAGCGUGAAGGAUGAAGGCUUAUGGGUCGUAAACUUCUUUUAUAUAAGAAUAUGUAUUAUAUGAAUAAGGAUCGGCUAACUCCGUGCCAGCAGCCGCGGUAAUUC
rnacentral:rRNA from 1 species